AUACGUAUGUCGCAAGCGUUAUCCGGAUUUAUUGGGCGUAAAGCGCGUCUAGGCGGCUUAGUAAGUCUGAUGUGAAAAUGCGGGGCUCAACCCCGUAUUGCGUUGGAAACUGCUAAACUAGAGUACUGGAGAGGUAGGCGGAACUACAAGUGUAGAGGUGAAAUUCGUAGAUAUUUGUAGGAAUGCCGAUGGGGAAGCCAGCCUACUGGACAGAUACUGACGCUAAAGCGCGAAAGCGUGGGUAGCAAACAGGAUUAGAUACCCUGGUAGUCCACGCCGUAAACGAUGAUUACUAGGUGUUGGGGGUCGAACCUCAGCGCCCAAGCUAACGCGAUAAGUAAUCCGCCUGGGAAGUACGUACGCAAGUAUGAAACUCAAAUGAAUUGGCGGGG
rnacentral:rRNA from 1 species